rnacentral:lncRNA from 1 species
AUGGAGUUUGUGCUGAGCUGGGUUUUCCUUGUUGCUAUAUUAAAGGGUGUCCAGUGUGAGGUUCAGCUGGUGCAGUCUGGGGGAGGCUUGGUACAGCCUGGGGGUCCCUGAGACUCUCCUGUGCAGGCUCUGGAUUCACCUUCAGUAGCUAUGCUAUGCACUGGGUUCGCCAGGCUCCAGGAAAAGGUCUGGAGUGGGUAUCAGCUAUUGGUGCUGGUGGUGGCACAUACUAUGCAGACUCCGUGAAGGGCCGAUUCACCAUCUCCAGAGACAAUGCCAAGAACUCCUUGUAUCUUCAAAUGAACAGCCUGAGAGCCGAGGACAUGGCUGUGUAUUACUGUGCAAGAGA